rnacentral:tRNA from 1 species
GAGGGUGCAGCUCAGUGGGGGAGCAUGUGCUUAGCAUGCACGAGGCCCCGGGUUCCAUCCCCAGUACCUCCU